GUUCGAGUCCUGACCGGCAUCAAAGUUCAUGGUUUUUCCACGAGGAAAGGCAACGAGCCCCCGGAUCCGGCCGAACGGACCCGGGAACUAUAUGAACUGGCCAGCUGGAGAUUGGAGUACGCCACCAGCUUGGCCCGAGCCGGACCCCCCCGAACGGGGACCGGGACUCCACUCGAACCUACCCGUUUGCAGCUCAACGAGCACCACGGUUCGUCCAACGAGGAUAACGUGGCACGGCUCAACCCCUUCGUCCUAGCGAACAGACGCUUG
rnacentral:lncRNA from 1 species